AACGAACGCUGGCGGCAUGCCUAACACAUGCAAGUCGAACGAGACCUUCGGGUCUAGUGGCGCACGGGUGCGUAAAGCGUGGGAAACUGCCCUUAGGUUCGGAAUAAACCCCCGAAAGGGGUGCGAAUACCGGAUAAUAUCCUAGGACCAAAGAUUUAUCGCCUUUGGAUGGGCCCGCGUUGGAUUAGAUAGUUGGUAGGGUAAAAUCCUACCAAGGCGACGAUCCAUAGCUGGUCUGAGAGGAUGAUCAGGCACACUGGGACUGAGACACGGCCCAGACUCCUACGGGAGGCAGCAGUGGGGAAUAUUGGACAAUGGGCGAGAGCCUGAUCCAGCAAUGCCGGGUGAGUGAUGAAGGCCUUAUGGUUGUAAAGCUCUUUUACCCGGGAUGAUAAUGACAGUACCGGGAGAAUAAGCUCCGGCUAACUCCGUG
rnacentral:rRNA from 1 species